UUUUUUGUAACCGAGAGUAAAUAUACUGUAUGUAUAUUGUAAUUAAGUUUUUAUUAUUUUGUAAUUUGUAUAUUUCGAAUAAACUAGUGUCUGAUGUGGUAUAUCAAACCUGCAUAGCACGUAACUUUCUUAUUUAGGUAGAUUUUUCUAAGGGGCAGUUCAUAUGAUCCCGCUUACACAAGAUUAAACGAGCGUGCAAUGAUUUUGAGAUAUUGAAAUAAGUCAUUUGUUAAUGAUUCGGAAAAAUAACAUGAUCCAGGUGGCUUUUGAUUUUGUUCUGUAGAAAUAUCAAAUGGGCAAAAUGUAAUUGUUGAGCACUAAUUCGUGCGAAUAUGUUUUUUGCAUUGAUCUAUAUUUAGUCUGUUGUUAGCAUGUGCUUGUCUGGUUUCAUAAGGACUUAUUUCAAUACCUCAAAGCCAUUGCUCGCUUUGUUUAAUCUCGGGUAAAUGGGAUCGCAUAAACUUCCCCUGACUCACUUAAUUUCAAUGCAUAAAACUUAAUAUUUGAACAUUUGAAACAUGUGAGAAUUUCAUACAUGAAGUCUUAAUGUGGAAUUUCAUAUAUGAAAUAUUUGAUAUAUGAAAUCUUUAUGUGGAAUUG